rnacentral:rRNA from 1 species
GAUGAACGCUGGCGGCGUGCCUAAUACAUGCAAGUCGAGCGAACAGACGAGGAGCUUGCUCCUCUGACGUUAGCGGCGGACGGGUGAGUAACACGUGGAUAACCUACCUAUAAGACUGGGAUAACUUCGGGAAACCGGAGCUAAUACCGGAUAAUAUAUUGAACCGCAUGGUUCAAUAGUGAAAGACGGUUUUGCUGUCACUAAUAGAUGGAUCAGCGCCGCAUUAGCUAGUUGGUAAGGUAACGGCUUACCAAGGCAACGAUGGGAAGCCGACCUGAGAGGGUGAUCGGCCACACUGGAUCUGAGAAACGGUCCAGACUCCGACGGGAGGCAGCAGUAGGGAAUCUUCCGCAAUGGGCGAAAGCCUGACGGAGCAACGCCGCGUGAGUGAUGAAGGUCUUCGGAUCGUAAAACUCUGUUAUUAGGGAAGAACAAAUGUGUAAGUACCUAUGCACGUCUUGACGGUACCUAAUCAGAAAGCCACGGCUAACUACGUG